CAUAUUCACUAGGGGUGCGAUUGAUUGCUGAGAGAAAGUACUUACUUUCAACCCUUAAACCUGUUGGUUAGUACCAUCGUAGGAAAGUGACUUACAUAUUAC
rnacentral:ncRNA from 2 species